rnacentral:rRNA from 1 species
AGAGCGAACGCUGGCGGCAGGCCUAACACAUGCAAGUCGAGCGGCCGUAGCAAUACGGCAGCGGCAGACGGGAUAGUAACACGUGGGAACGCGCCCUUCGGUUCGGAAUAACUCAGGGAAACUUGAGCUAAUACCGGAUACGCCCUUACGGGGAAAGAUUUAUUGCCGAAGGAACGGCCCGCGUCCGAUUAGCUAGUUGGUGAGGUAAUGGCUCACCAAGGCUCCGAUCGGUAGCUGGUCUGAGAGGAUGACCAGCAUCACUGGGACUGAGACACGGCCCAGACUCCUACGGGAGGCAGCAGUGGGGAAUAUUGGGCAAUGGGCGCAAGCCUGAUCCAGCCAUGCCGCGUGGAUGAUGAAGGCCUUAGGGUUGUAAAGUCCUUUUAACGGGGAAGAUAAUGACGGUACCCGUAGAAUAAGCCCGGCUAACUUCGCGCCAGCAGCCGC